rnacentral:rRNA from 1 species
CUAGCGACUUCAGAGUUUGAUCCUGGCUCAGGAUGAACGCUAGCUACAGGCUUAACACAUGCAAGUCAGGGGCAGCACGGGAAUAGCUUGCUAUUCUGGGUGGCGACCGGCGCACGGGUGAGUAACGCGUAUCCAACCUGCCCAUUACUCAGGGAUAGCCUUGCGAAAGUAAGAUUAAUACCUGAUGUUGUUAUGAAUUUGCAUGAAUUUAUAACUAAAGAUUUAUUGGUAAUGGAUGGGGAUGCGUAACAUUAGGUAGUUGGUGAGGUAACGGCUCACCAAGCCUACGAUGUUUAGGGGUUCUGAGAGGAAGGUCCCCCACACUGGAACUGAGACACGGUCCAG